UAUAUCUAUCUUCCUGAUGGUGCCAAAUUCUAUACAUUUGGUCUUGCUGCCAUCUGCUGGGCAAUAUGGAAUUAUCGUAACAGAGCAACCUUUGAGUUUAAGCCUCGUAAAACUCCUUUUGAGAUUGUAUUUUCCGGUUGUGUCUUCAUCACCUACUGGGCGGGUCUUUUGAAGGGGGCAGAUCAUGAGGCGAUGGAGCGUGGGUCGCAGAUGCUGAGGAGCAGUACAAGCAACAAGAUGAUGAUCUGUGACGCUGCGACUGAAGAUUCGGCAACGACUUACUAG
rnacentral:rRNA from 1 species